rnacentral:rRNA from 1 species
UGGGGAAUCUUGCGCAAUGGGAGAAAUCCUGACGCAGCAACGCCGCGUGGGUGAUGAAGGUCUUCGGAUCGUAAAGCCCUGUCGGAGGGGAAGAUGCUUGUGCAUGCUAAUAGUAUGCAUAGGUGACGGUACCCUCAAAGGAAGCACCGGCUAACUCUGUGCCAGCAGCCGCGGUAAUACAGAGGGUGCAAGCGUUGUUCGGAAUUAUUGGGCGUAAAGGGAGUGUAGGCUGUUAGUUAAGUCUUCUGUGAAAUCUACGGGCUUAGCCUGUAACGUGCAGAGGAAACUGGCUGACUUGAGUGUCGGAGAGGAUAGGGGAAUACCCAGUGUAGAGGUGAAAUUCGUAGAGAUUGGGUGGAACACCAGUGGCGAAGGCGCCUGUCUGGCUGACAACUGACGCUGAGACUCGAAAGCAUGGGGAGCAAA